rnacentral:rRNA from 1 species
GACGAACGCUGGCGGCGUGCUUAACACAUGCAAGUCGAACGAAGAGCGAUGGAAGCUUGCUUCUCUCAAUCUUAGUGGCGAACGGGUGAGUAACGCGUAAUCAACCUGCCCUUCAGAGGGGGACAACAGUUGGAAACGACUGCUAAUACCGCAUACGAUCUAAUCUCGGCAUCGAGGAUAGAUGAAAGGUGGCCUCUACAUGUAAGCUAUCACUGAAGGAGGGGAUUGCGUCUGAUUAGCUAGUUGGAGGGGUAACGGCCCACCAAGGCGAUGAUCAGUAGCCGGUCUGGGAGGAUGAACGGCCACAUUGGGACUGAGACACGGCCCAGACUCCUACGGGAGGCAGCAGUGGGGAAUCUUCCGAAAUGGACGAAAGUCUGACGGAGCAACGCCGCGUGAGUGAUGACGGCCUUCGGGUUGUAAAGCUCUGUUAAUCGGGACGAAAGGCCUUCUUGCGAAUAGUGAGAAGGAUUGACGGUACCGGAAUAGAAAGCCACGGCUAACUACGUG